AAGAGGGGAGACAGAAGCAGACUAUAAAUGGUGUGCUACAUGGUAUUUUCACAUUCAGCAUGUCAGCAGAAGAGCAGAAUACAUGGUAAAGCAUCUUGGUACACACACAACCAAUAUGUUUUAUCCUAAUGCAUACACAGGACAAACUCUGCUUUACCAAGGUUUAGAUACACUGGCUUUAUCACAUUUUAACCCAAUAUACCAGGCUAGGAACCCAGAUAUAUCUGCCACAUGCACAUCUGCUGUGAGACCAGUAGGAGUUGUCGCCAAGUUCAGGAUCUAUAAAAUGAGUAUCCAGGUUUCACUCAACACUGGAGCAGACCCAGGAUCAUACCUCCCGCUGGUCUGAUACAUGUUGGACUAAGACGUUUAAAGUGGCUUACCGACACAGUCCUCUUGUUUAUUUUCAGCCUGACACCGCAAGCAUGCAUCUGCGGAAAGAAGCGCUCCAUCAUCUGCAAACAAUGACCUCCCAAUAUCAGGUCUCACCUGGAAGAAUACAUUGUCAAUCAUAAUGGAGAACAAGAAAGGACUAAUGACACCUCCCUGGGGGGUACCAUUAUCUACCUCAUGGCUUUCUGACAUAGAGCUCCCCACCCUCACUUGUAUUGAUCGCCCAAAAAGAAAAUCCUUUAUCCAGUUAAAAACCAUUCCUCCAACCCCCAUGCUAUCCAGCUUGAUAAGUAGGCCUUCAUUCCACAUCAUAUUCUCUACAUUGAAUAAAAUGGCUACCACCACCUC